AAUUCUGUACGGUGGAUCACUCGGCUCGUUAUUCGAUGAAGAGCGCAGCAAAGUGCGAGAAAGCAACGCGAAUUGCAGGACACAUUGAGCAUGAAUAACUCGAACGCAUCUAGCAGCCAAGACAUUAGUCGAGGCUAAAUUUGCUUCAGUCUUG
rnacentral:rRNA from 1 species